rnacentral:rRNA from 1 species
AGCAGCCGCGGUAAUUCCAGCUCCAAUAGCGUAUAUUAAAGUUGUUGCAGUUAAAAAGCUCGUAGUUGAAUUUCGGGAUCAAUAUGUUGGUCGUGCCUCGGUACGUACUAGCAUAUUGGUUUCUCCUUUCUGAAGAACCAUGAUGUCAUUUAUUUGGUGUCGUGGGGAAUCAGGACUGUUACUUUGAAAAAUUAGAGUGUUUAAAGCAGGCUCACGCUUGAAUACAUUAGCAUGGAAUAAUGAAAUAGGACGUUUGAUUCUAUUUUGUUGGUUUCUAGGAUCGACGUAAUGAUUAAUAGGGAUAGUUGGGGGCAUUAGUAUUCAAUUGUCAGAGGUGAAAUUCUUGGAUUUAUUGAAGACUAACUACUGCGAAAGCAUUUGCCAAGGAUGUUUUCAUUAAUCAAGAACGAAAGUUAGGGGAUCGAAGACGAUCAGAUACCGUCGUAGUC